rnacentral:rRNA from 1 species
AUGACCUCAUGUUAAGUAGGAUUACCUGUUGAGUUUAAGCAUAUCAAUAAGGGGAGGAAAAGAAACUUACCAAGAUUCUCCUAGUAAUGGUGAGUGAAUCGGGAAGAGCCCAACUUAAGAAUCAAGCACCCUUAACAUUCGAAUUAUAGUAUGAAGAAGUGUCUUCAGCCGUAGAUCAAGCCCAAGCCCUUGAAAAGGGGUGCUGCGAGGGUAAAAGCUCUAUUUUCUUACACCACGAGGCACUGUUUAUAAGUCAUGUUGUUUGGAAAUGUAAAUCCCAAUCGGGCAGUAAAUUUUUUACAAGGCUUAAUACGGGUGAGAAAUUGAUAAUGAACAAGUACCAUAGGAGAAAGAUGAAAAAGACAUUGAAAAGAGAGUUAAAGAUUGCUUGAAAUUAUAAAAAAAGAAACAGAUGAGGGUUGAAGAUACACCAUGGUCAUCAGUGGAAUGGUGAGAGCUAGUCCGAUGAUUAGGUCGAGGUAUGGACUGAUGCGGGUCGUAAUACGAGGUAGCCUAAGCCUAGGCAUUUUAUAUGCUUGCGCUGCUGUCAUCACCAUAAUCGUGGAAUGCAACAAGAACCAUCUUGUCAUGCCUCGACACCUGUGUGCUCUCAAUGUCAACUUGUUGGUUCCUUAUUUGCCUAUCUUGAAACAUGAACCAAAGAGUCUAACAUGUGUAUGAGUUAAUGGGCUAAGAAACCCAUAAGGCAUAAGAAAGCUAAUUAAUGAGAUCCCUCACGAGUGUACUACCAAUUCAUCUUAAUAUUCUGAGAAGAGUUCAAGUGUGAGCAUACCUAUUAUGACCCAAAAGAUGGUGAACUAUACUUGAGAGGGGCAAAGCCAAAGAAAACCCUAGUGAAGGGCUAUAGUGAUACUGAGUGCAAAUUGUUCAUUUGACUUAGGUAUAUGGGUGAAAAACUAAUUGAACUAUCUAGUAUCUAGUUCCCUGUGAAGUUUCCUUUAAGAUAGCUAAAACCUUUAGCAAGUUCUAUCAAUGAAAGCCAUUGAUUAGAGGUAUUAAAGGCAUAAUGCCAUUGACCUAUUCUCAAACUUUAAAUAGGUAAGAUAGUGUGACUGCUAUGGAAUUGAAAGCUCCAAGUGGGCCAAUUUUGGUAAGCAGAGUUGAUGAUGAGGGAUGAAUCACAAACUGGGUUAUAGUACCUAAUUACAUGUUAACCUAGAACCCACAAAGGGGGUUGGUCAAUUAAGAUAGCAAGACAGUGGUCAUGGAAGUAGAAAUCUACUAAAGAUUAUGGAACAACUCACCUACCAAAUUAACUAGCCUUGAAAAUGGAUGGUGUUUAAGUGUGUGACCUAUACCUGGUCAUUGGGGCAAGGGCCAGGCCUCGAUGAGUAAGAAGGCAUGAUGAUUGUUGCAAAACUCUAGGCACAAGCUAGGAUAGAGCAACUGUCGAUGUAGAUCUUAGUGAUAGUAGCAAAUAUUCAAAUGAAAACUUUGAAGGCUAAAUAUGGGAAAGGUUCUAUGUGAAUGACAUUUACACAUGGGUUAGUCAAUCCUAAUAGACAAAGGAAGCCCAUUCGAUAAUGCAUCUAGAGUGAGCUUCUAAAGACAAUAGGGGUAAAGUUCUUGAACCUAGACAUGACAGCUGAUGGCAAUGUUGGGGACUCUAGAGACAUCGACUGGGGCCUCGAGAAGAGUUAUCUUUUUUGUUUAACGACAUGCUCACCCUAGAAAUGGCUAGUCAAAGGUAGAGUUUAGCAGUCAGAAGAGCACCACACAUCAUGUGGCAUCCAAUGCACCUCCAACAGUUUUUAAAAAUCUAAAAGACAAAGUGCUGUCCAUGCCCGAUCAUACUUAUAACUAUAUCAGGUCUCAAAGGUGAAUAACCUAUAGUCGAUGAAACAAUGUAAGCAAGCGAAGUCAGUAAAAUGGAUUUGUAACCUAGGGAAAAAGAUUGGCUCUGAGGGUUGGGAUGAAGGUCCUAGUCUUGAACCUAUCAACUGUCGAUGCACUAGUCGAGCUACAUUACCGUGAAAGUGGGUCAUCAUGUGCUCGUCAGGGGAUAGACUAGGACCAAUUCCUUUGAGAGCUUUCCCCGAGCAACAAAUAGUUGACUUAAAACUAGUACAAAAAAAAGGGAUUUUAAUUGUUUAAUUAAAAUAAAGCAGUUUGAUGGUCCUUACGAAUGCUCAUAGAAUAUGAUUUUUGCCUAGUGCUUUGAAUGUCAAAAUGAAGAAAUUCAACUAGGUGUGUGUAAAAUAGCGAGAGUAACUAUGACUCUCUUAAGGUAACUAAAUGCCUCGUCACCUAAUUAGUGAUGGGCAUAAAUGGAUUAAUGAGAUUCCCAUUGUCCUUGUCUACUACCUAGUGAAACCACAGCCAAAGGAACAGGCUUGGCAGAAUUAGUAGGGAAAAAAGACCCUAUUAAGCUUGACUUUAGUUUGACUUUGUGAAAUGAUUUAAAAGGUGUAGGAUAAGUGGAAGCUCUCUGGCAAAAUUGAAAUACCAUUACUUUUAAUGUUAUUUUACUCAUUCUAUAAAUCGAAGGUAGGGCAUGACCUUUUUUUUUUUACCUAAGGCUGACCUCGAUCAGUUAAUCCUGGCAAAAGACAUUAUUAGAUAGAGAGUUUGGCUGGGGUGGCACAUCUAUUAAAAGAUAACAUAUGUGUCUUAAGAUAAGCCUAAUGAGAAUAGAAAUAUCGUGUGAAACAAAAAGGUAAAAGCUCAUUUGAUUAUGAUUUCUAGUAUGAAUAUGAAUCAUGAAAGCGUGGCCUAUCGAUAUUUUAAACUUUUGGAAUUUGAAGCUAAAGGUGUCAGAAAAGUUACCAUAUGGAUAACUAGCUUGUGGUAGCCAAGCGUUCAUAGCGACAUUACUUUUUGAUCCUUUGAUGUUAGCUUUCCCUAUCAUUAUGAAACAAAAUUCACUAAGUGUUGGAUUGUUUACCAAUUAAUAGGGAACAUAAGCUGGGUUUAGAUCAUUGUGAGAUAGGUUAGUUUUACCCCACUGAUGUAGCAUCGUAAUAGUAAUUCAACAUAGUAUGAGAGGAACCAUUGAUUCAAACAAUUGGUCAUUGUAUUUGGUUGAAAAGCUAGUGGUGCAAAGCUAUCAUGUGCUGGAUUAUGACUAAAUGCCUCUAAGUCAGAAUCCAGGCUAGAAGUGAUGCACAAGCCCACCUCCCGAUUGCCUAUCUGUAGUAAAGGGCCCUUGGCCCUUAAUGGCAUUUGUCGUAGGGGCAACCCUCAUGACAAACAAGCCAUGUGGGCCUCUUUAGAGCUCAAUUCCCAUCGAGCAGUUAGUAAAAUCUUUUGCAAAUGAUUUAAAUACAUGAUG